rnacentral:rRNA from 1 species
UGACCGCGUAUGAAAGUACGUUUUCACCUCGGGUGACAGGGAGACAGGUGGUGCAUGGUUGUCGUCAGCUCGUGUCGUGAGAUGUUGGGUUAAGUCCCGCAGCGAGCGCAACCCUCGACCUUAGUUGCCAGCAUUCAGUUGGGCACUCUAAGGUGACUGCCGGCUAAAAGUCGGAGGAAGGUGGGGAUGACGUCAAAUCAUCAUGCCCCUUAUGACCUGGGCUACACACGUGCUACAAUGGGCGGUACAAAGGGUCGCGAACCCGCGAGGGGGAGCCAAUCCCAAAAAGCCGCUCUCAGUUCGGAUUGCAGGCUGCAACUCGCCUGCAUGAAGCCGGAAUCGCUAGUAAUCGCGGAUCAGCAUGCCGCGGUGAAUACGUUCCCGGGCCUU